rnacentral:misc_RNA from 1 species
ACGCCGCACAAUCCUGGCACGCGUGUUGGCCCUGGGUAUGGCGGCGCUCGUCCUGCUCGUGCCGGCGAACGUGCUGCCGGUUAUGUUUGUGCAGCAGGCCGGCGAAACGUCCAUGGAACCGACGAUAUUUGGUGGAGUACGCCUGCUCGCCGAACAAGGCAUGUGGGGCCUCGCUGCCAUCGUCUUUACGGCCAGCAUCGUGAUUCCACUGGUCAAGAUCCUCGGCCUUGCCGUGCUGCUCCUCGGGGCCUGGCGCGGGGCCGGUCGGCAUGCGGAUCGACUGACAACGGUGCAUGCCGUGCUCGAUUUCAUCGGCCGUUGGUCGAUGCUCGAUGUAUUCCUGGUG